CUCUAUACUGUGAUCUGCGAGUGGCUCAUUAUAUCAUUUAUAGUUUAUUUGAUAGUACCUUACUACUUGGAUAACCGUAGUAAUUCUAGAGCUAAUACAUGCAUGAAAUCCCGACUUUCGGAAGGGAUGUAUUUAUUAAAUUGAAACCAAUGCAGGGGCAACCCUGGUAUUGUGGUGAGUCAUAAUAACUGUGCGGAUCGCAUGGCCUUGCGCCGGCGACAAAUCAUUCAAGUUUCUGCCCUAUCAACUUUGGAUGGUAGGGUAUUGGCCUACCAUGGCAUCAACGGGUAACGGGGAAUGGGGCGGGGGCGGCGGGCCGGGCGCGGGGCGCGGCGGGCG
rnacentral:rRNA from 1 species